rnacentral:rRNA from 1 species
GGGCCCGCACAAGCGGUGGAGUAUGUGGUUAAUUCGAUGCAACGCGAAGAACCUUACCAGGGUUUGACAUCCUGCGAAUCUCUUGGAAACGAGAGAGUGCCUUCGGGAGCGCAGUGACAGGUGGUGCAUGGCUGUCGUCAGCUCGUGUCGUGAGAUGUUGGGUUAAGUCCCGCAACGAGCGCAACCCACGUCUUUAGUUGCCAGCAUUUAGUUGGGCACUCUAGAGAGACCGCCGGUGACAAACCGGAGGAAGGUGUGGAUGACGUCAAGUCAUCAUGGCCCUUACGACCUGGGCUACACACGUGCUACAAUGGGCGGUACAGAGGGCUGCAAUAUCGCGAGAUGGAGCCAAUCCCUUAAAACCGUUCGUAGUCCGGAUUGGAGUCUGCAACUCGACUCCAUGAAGUCGGAAUCGCUAGUAAUCG